AUUGAACGCUGGCGGCAUGCCUUACACAUGCAAGUCGAACGGUAACAGGUCUUCGGAUGCUGACGAGUGGCGAACGGGUGAGUAAUACAUCGGAACGUGCCUAGUAGUGGGGGAUAACUACUCGAAAGAGUGGCUAAUACCGCAUGAGAUCUACGGAUGAAAGCAGGGGAUCGCAAGACCUUGUGCUACUAGAGCGGCCGAUGGCAGAUUAGGUAGUUGGUGGGAUAAAAGCUUACCAAGCCGACGAUCUGUAGCUGGUCUGAGAGGACGAUCAGCAACACGGGGACGGGGACACGGCCCAGACUCCUACGGGAGGCAGCAGUAGGGGAAUUUUGGACAAUGGGCGAAAGCCUGAUCCAGCAAUGCCGCGUGCAGGAUGAAGGCCUUCGGGUUGUAAACUGCUUUUGUACGGAACGAAAAGCCCCGGGUUAAUACCCUGGGGUCAUGACGGUACCGUAAGAAUAAGCACCGGCUAACUACGUGCCAGCAGCCGCCGUAA
rnacentral:rRNA from 1 species